AUUAGCAUGUAGCAAGUUCUGCUUUUAAUUGCUGUAUGUGUGGCAUUAAUGAUUCAUUGUUGCAUUCUAGCUUGUCGUUUCCCCUCCCUGGUUCCUUCGGCUUGUUUUAUUAAGUGGAUUCUAAGACUGCUCACCUCUCAGUAUCCCUGUAUCUCAGCUAAAUGGCGGUUUAUAUGAAUACCGUGUACCCGUGCCUGUGAAGGGAUAAUAGAGCACAUUGUCCUUUCCCGGAUUCUCCCUCUCGUUCAUGGCGAUCGGUUUGUUUCUGCUGUUACAGCCCUGUCGCUUCUCUGCUGCCAUACUGCGAGAACGCAGACUGGUAUCGUCCAACUAAUCGAAGAGAUUGUUGCUGUCUGGUUUCAUUAAAUUAUAGUUUAUUGUACUCUGGGGUUGACGCUCACUGAUUUUUGGAACAAGGAGCACAAAACUACGUGUUUGCUCCAUGCGAGCCUGUCUUCCCUAUUGUCUGAAUUGACUUAAUUUGUUUUCUUUCUUCUAGCGUAAUAAUAUUUAUAUAUUGUUUGGUAUUCGAUUUGUUAUUUUAUUAUUGUCUGCUCCAUGACCAUAUGGUGAUACAAUCAAACUGUGAUUAUUGUAAUUAUAUUUUGAAGUUUGUUUACAUUUACAUUUAUGCAUUUGGCAGACGCUUUUAUCCAAAGUGAAUUACAGAGCCCUUAUUACAGGGACAAUCCCCCCAGAGCAACCUGGAGUUGAGUGCCUUGCUCAAGGACACAAUGGUGGUGGCUGUGGGGAUCGAACCAGCGACUUUCUGAUUACCAGUUUACCAGUUAUGUGCAUUAGACCACUACAACCCCACCACUUCCUUUUCAGUCGCUGGGGUCCCACGGGUGAAGGGUCUCUUGUGGUGGUGGUGCUCCUACAACGGUUGCCGUGUGUGUGUGUGUGUGUGUGUGUGUGUGUGUGAGCAUGUAUUUAUCACUUUGUGGGGACCAAAUGUCCCCAUAAGGAUAGUAAAACCCGAAAUUUUUGACCUUGUGGGGACAUUUUGUCGGUCCCCAUGAGGAAAACAGCUUAUAAAUCAUACUAAAUUGUGUUUUUUGAAAAUGUAAAAAUGCAGAAGGUUUUCUGUGAGGGUUAGGUUUAGGGGUAGGGUUAGGUUUAGGGGAUAGAAUAUAAAGUUUGUACAGUAUAAAAACCAUUAUGUCUAUGGAAAGUCCCCAUAAAACAUGGAAACACAACGUGUGUGUGUGUGUGUGUGUGUGUGUGUGUGUGUGUGUGUGUGUGUGUGUGUGUGUGUGUGUGUGUGUGUGUGUGUGUGUGUGUGUGUGUGUGUGUGUGUGUGUGUGUGUGUGUGUGUGUGUGUGAGAGAAAGUGUGCUGUUGACUAACUAGUUUCGUGAUCACUUCUCCUGUGGUGAACCUCAGCCCUGUAAGUUUGAGUUGUGCAAAUAUUAGUUAUGUUAAGUGUUGUGUAUGUUUUUGUUUAUUUUGAAACCGUUGUCAGCCAUGCACCUCUAACAAGCCGUCAUACGCUGCCUGGUACAACGGAUGCUAUUUUAAUGUAAUUUUUCUUCUUUAAAUGUAAUUUUGUAUUAAUAAAAUGUUGUACUUUUUUUAUGAUACCUACUUUUCUGCCUACCUUCUUAAGAGAGUCGGACCUGUGUGACCAAACGUUUUAGGUAUCAUUCAUAUUUCCCUGGGUGAAAUUCCCAUGGGUGGCAUAGUCGAAAUUCCUUGUCUGAAACCUGUACUACUUGUGCCACAUAAGCAACCAAAUUGGCCCGGUUGCUAGGGAGGGUGGAGUCACAUGGGAUAACCUCCUCGUGGUCGCUAUAAUGUAGUUCUCGCUCUCGGUGGGGCACGUGGUGAGCUGUGCAUGGAUGCCGUGGAGAAUAGCAUGAAGCCUCGACACGUGCUAUGUCUCUGCGGUAACGCGCUCAACAAGCCAUGUGUUAAAAUGCACAGACUGACAGUCUUAGACGCCGAAGCAACUGAGAUUCGUCCUCCACCAUCUGGAUUGAGGCGAGUCACUACGCCACCAUGAGGACUGAGAGGACCUCGGGUAUUCCAAAUUGGGGAGAAAAAAAAACAUUUAUUUUGUGACCAGUUCUGGGUAGAAUACUUCUGAAAUUAAAUCGACUACUUAUUUAAAAUUACAAAACUGAAAUCGUAAUCUGUUACAUAAUCGUGUAGAUUACACUUUUUAGGUAAGCUGAUUUCUUUGGGAUUACUUUUGGAUAACCCAUUUCUUAUUUUGAUGAAAAUGUAAUUAUUAAUUUUAAAUAUAUUAAGCACCCAUUUACACAUUAGUAAACAUGAAAUCAAACGGAAACUUGCUAUUUGUCAGUUCCUAAGAAAAAAAGAUUCUUAAAGGGUGUUACAAAUUUAGACAAUUGGGCAAAAGACAAUUAGAACAUGCUUUUUUACCUUUUCUCCAAAUUUGUAAUGCCUAAUACCCUGUACUUAGUAGGGCCUCGUGGUGGCGCGGUUACU